rnacentral:tRNA from 1 species
GGUCUUGUAGUUUUAUUUAAAAUAUUAAGUUGCAAACUUUAAGAAACAUGUGGUAUUGUCGGGACUU